AACGAACGCUGGCGGCAUGCCUAACACAUGCAAGUCGAACGAGACCUUCGGGUCUAGUGGCGCACGGGUGCGUAACGCGUGGGAACCUGCCCUUAGGUUCGGAAUAACUCCCCGAAAGGGGUGCUAAUACCGGAUAAUGUCUUCGGACCAAAGAUUUAUCGCCUUUGGAUGGGCCCGCGUUGGAUUAGCUAGUUGGUAGGGUAAAAGCCUACCAAGGCGACGAUCCAUAGCUGGUCUGAGAGGAUGAUCAGCCACACUGGGACUGGGACACGGCCCAGACUCCUACGGGAGGCAGCAGUGGGGAAUAUUGGACAAUGGGCGAAAGCCUAAUCCAGCAAUGCCGCGUGAGUGAUGAAGGGCUUAGGAUUGUAAAGCUCUUUUACCCGGGAUGAUAAUGACAGUACCGGGAGAAUAAGCUCCGGCUAACUCCGU
rnacentral:rRNA from 1 species